rnacentral:rRNA from 1 species
AUGUCUCUUGUCCGUGAUGAUCUUGCUUGGAAAAUAUGGCUCCACCUGGCCCAGUCGCGCCUUUCCCUCAUCCACACCAACCGGUCGCCCGAAUCUCGAGCGCCACUCAUGGCCUCCUCCGCCUUGUCCGGCACCCACCAUCGCCUCCUCCCCUGUUUCCUGCGCCGCCUCCCCCGGCCCCGCACGCGCUCGUGCUCCCGCCUCCGCCUCGCCGCCUGCCAUGCCGACACCCUCCUUUCCUCCUCCGGGACCCAGAGGCCUCCCGCCCCCGCGGCGUGCUCGUCCGCAUCCUCCGCUGGCGGGUUCUCUGACUGGCUACUCACGAAUGGGCUGCCGCCGGGCAAGGUGGCCAUCCUGGAGCGCCCCGUCCCGUGCUCUCGCGGGGGCAAAGACCGGCCAUUACACUUCGUCGCUGCUGGGCAGGACCUCGAGGCGGGGGAUGUGGCGUUCGAGGUGCCCAUGUCGCUCGUUGUCACGCUGGAGCGGGUUCUCGGCGACGAGUCGGUUGCUGAAUUGUUAACAACAAACAAAUUGUCUGAGCUGGCAUGCUUGGCAUUGUAUCUCAUGUAUGAGAAGAAGCAAGGAAGAGAUUCACUUUGGUACCCGUAUAUUAAAGAACUUGAUCGUCAGCGAGGCAGGGGGCAACUAGCUGUUGAAUCACCUCUUUUAUGGACUGAAAGUGAACUGGAUUACCUGAAUGGCAGCCCCAUGAGGGAUGAAGUUGUUGUUAGAGAUGAGGGAAUAAGAAGAGAGUAUAAUGAGCUUGAUACAUUGUGGUUCAUGGCAGGUUCAUUGUUUAAGCAAUACCCUUUUGAUGUACCUACUGAGGCGUUUCCGUUUGAGAUCUUCAAGCAGGCAUUUGUUGCAGUACAGUCUUGUGUGGUUCAUUUGCAGAAGGUUAGUUUAGCUCGAAGAUUUGCACUAGUUCCCUUGGGCCCACCACUGUUGACGUACAAGAGCAACUGCAAAGCAAUGCUGACUGCUGUUGAUGGUUCUGUUCGAUUGCUGGUCGAUCGGCCGUACAAAGCAGGAGAACCGAUAAUUGUUUGGUGUGGGCCUCAACCAAACUCCAGGUUGCUUCUCAAUUAUGGUUUUGUUGAUGAAGACAAUCCAUAUGAUCGCAUAGCAAUCGAGGCAUCCCUAAACACUGAAGAUCCUCAAUACCAAGAGAAGAGAAUGGUCGCUCAAAGAAAUGGAAAGCUUGCUAUCCAAAAAUUCCAAGUCUGUGUAGGCAAAGAGAAGGAAACUAUUUCUGAAAUGCUGCCAUACUUGAGACUAGGAUACAUUUCAGAUCCAGAUGAAAUGCAAUGUAUACUUUCGUCAGAAGGUGAUACAUGUCCAGUUAGUCCAUGCUCAGAGCGAGCUGUACUUGACCAACUUGUUGUCUACCUGAAAUCAAGAUUGGCUGGUUAUCCGACUACUUUGGACGAGGACGAAGCAAUGUUGGCCGAUGGCAGUUUGGAACCAAAGAAAGAAGUUGCUACUAGACUUGUAAGGUUAGAGAAGAAAAUGCUGCAUGGCUGUCUUCAGGCUGCUAACGAGUUCAUAAGUGGCUUGCCUGAUCAUACCGUAUCACCUUGCCCUGCUCUAUAUGCUCCUGAAUUGAAAUAA